rnacentral:rRNA from 1 species
AAUGAACGCUGGCGGCGUGCCUAAUACAUGCAAGUCGAACGAAUUGGCGCGCGGGUGAGUGAUAUAUAGUUAAUCUGCCCUACACAGAGGAACAACAGUUGGAAACGACUGCUAAUACCUCAUAGUGUAGGAUGAGACUAUAUCGUGUCAGCUAGUUGGUAAGGUAAUGGCUGACCAAGGCUAUGACGCGUAACUGGUCUGAGAGGAUGAUCAGUCACAUUCGAACGGAGACACGGUCCGAGCACCUUCGGGAGGUAGCAGUAAGGAAAAUUGCGCAAUCGGGGACGCCGUGACGGAGCUACGCGGCGUGGAGUAUGACACUUUUGGGAGCAUAAACUCAUUUUAUCAGGAAAGCGGUACCUGAUGAAUAAGCACCGGCUAACUCCGUGCCAGCAGCCGCGGUAAUAC